AACUCUUAAUCCUCCUCCUCACAUCUAAUCCUAAACCUAACUCUAACCCGAUGAACGCUGUUCCACAAUCUCCUAACCCAAUGCCCAAAACUUACAGACCAAUAAGCGAAAUCCAAAAUCCGUGGACCUCAGACUCGCUAACCCAAAUCCUAUAACCCAUAGACUCUUUCAUGUGGAAUUUACUUUGAUCUUUGUGCAACUGUGCUGUCCUAUGAUUCUCCUUACUUUGGCAUUUGGCAAGAUCUGAUGGGUUAAAUACAUAUCAAAGGCAUGCUAUUUUGUAUAACCUUAGCUAAGAAUUAUCAAGCCAGUAUUGGAUUUAUGAGUGGAUAUCUACCACACUUUGUGCAAUUGUGCUACCCAACACAAGAUUGCAUCAUCCUGUAAC
rnacentral:lncRNA from 1 species